rnacentral:miRNA from 1 species
GCUUGCUCGGGGUGAGUCAGGGCUCUCCUGUCAUCGGGGGCCCCCUCUGGGCUCUGGGAGGCUGCCACUGGAGCCCUGCCUCUUCCUGGCAG